GCGGAAUUAGGACAGAGUUUGGGGAGGGUAUCCAGUAGGGAAGGGUGAUUAGGAAUACUGAAAUUAUUGCAGCAAAAAGGAACCAAUGACAACAAGGGAAGCAGAGAACUUUCUGGCAAUGAUCAACAUACUGGAACUGGAGGAUUUGGGGGGUGAUUUUUUUACUCACCUCUACUGUGAAAGGUUUUCCCAUGACCUUAAGCCAUGAUCCCCUGCACUUUUACUGGACCUAUCCCCAACACUCCAGGAAAAUGAAAUUCUCCACAUCUCUGUGUUAAAAUGAUUGGAAAUAAAACUUAGGGACAUCUAGCAUGUGAUUACUUUUUUUAGACAGGAUUUUCUUCAUAGCUGAAUUGGACUGAGUUUUUCUUCCCUCACAAACCAGAUGGUUAGUGAUUCAGUACUUUUAGCAAUAGAAAAAUGAUUAGUUUUCUUUCCUCAAUAGUUGGUGUGAAUGUACUUUUCUUUAUCUAUUUACAUAUUACGUAAACACACUUUACCAGUUUUUCUGUGCAUAGGUUGCAGUCCUGAUCCUGCAGAGAGCCUUGCACACAGGAAUUGACAUAGCUCAUAUAGAACUAUUUGCAUGGAGCUCAUGACAGUGUCGUAACUGUAUUUGUAUCUUUAUGUAUGUACUUCAAUUUGCGAGGCUGUAUGAGGAUGCCAACGCAAUUUUAAGUCCACAAAACAAUUGAGUAACUUGGCACACUUUGCUUUCUUUUCACCUAACAAAGUCUCUGAUCUCUUCUGUUGUGUUCCUGUAGUAAGCUGUAGGUCCUUGUGGCUUUUGAGUUAUGCUAAAAGCUUUGUCCUUAUUACAGAGUCUAAGUUCUUCCUGGUGUGCAGGGGGAGUGAGGUCCUCAUUCAUUUAGCCUUUUAGACUUGUACUGGUGCUAUUCCCUUUGGAAGGGAUUGUAGUAACAGUGGCAAAUACUUUGGAGAGUAUUAGAAAAAUUCACAUGAGUACUUGAUUUAUCAAGAUUAUUUGCAUCUAUAUUUAUUGGUGUAUACACAAUGUUAAAUAGAAUAUAUGUUUACCCCGUAUAUGCUGUGUCAGCAUAUGGGUAUUUGAGGCAGAAGGCUCUGAAGCUGUUACUAGACUUACACUCUAGACUGACACUGUACUACAGUAUCCAGUCACUCAUUCCCUAUACAAGAAGGUGCAAGUAAGGUUGUCCAAGCAGCCUGACUGAUGUCCUUUCCAAGCAGUUAAGAGCUGUUUUGUAAAUUUGCUGUGCUUUUACCCUAGUUUUACCUGGGAAUUAAAAUAUUGGAUGCAUAGUCUCAUACUGCUGCUUUAUUGAGACGAUAAUACUACAUUUCAAAUACAGUGGCCGCGUUCUCUAUUUGCAAAUCUGGCUGUACACAGUUGGAACAUAAUUAUCUGAUUAUCUUCUUGGCUCUUGCCUCAUGUAGGUAUGCUCUGGUUGAGUCACUGGGGGAUUGUGCACAGAGGAGCUGGCUGGCCCAUUGCCUUUUUUUCCAGGUUUACCAGAGUUAAAACCCACUAAUUAGUAUUUUUGCUUGAAAAGUGUGGUAAUCUUCUGCUUCCAUGUAUUCUAAUAGGAAAAAAAAGACAUAAAUUAGCAUCAGAGAUACAGUACUGUGACACGUCAAGUUUUUCCCUUCAAUUCAAUUAUUCAGUGGAAGGGUGUCAGAAGGAGGUCCUUGAAACUAGCAUUGUUUGUUUGGCAUGGAUCAGUAGUCAAGCUGGGGUGAUUCAGUGUGCCUUGUAUUUGUGAAAUAAGUUACUUUUCCCUUUAUGCAAGGGGAAGCAUUUGGGGGAGUUUGCUUCUCAGGUUGUGUGAUCUCACAAAGUGGCAGAAAAGUGUCUGCAGGGCAUAUAGUCCUGUGGGAUGAUGCUUAAUGGGGUGGUGUGUGGCUCCAGUCUGAGGUCAGAUUGCCCAAUGGGAGGAGCAAAAGCUUCAGCCACCGCUCUGUGUGUUACAUACCAAGGGUUGUACCUUCUCUGAACCUCAUUGUGGUCAUAAAUGGUAACAUUUCUUAUAACUGGGAAUUGCUUUAUUACAUUACCAGAAAGAAAUAGAAGCACAAAGCAGUGGUUAUGCACUUCCAAACACUGUGUCUGUAGAAGAGCAGAGCAGUGACUCCUAACCCAGCUGUUGUGGGCAUGCAGAACAAUGCAAUUAAGAUUUCUGUUCUCUCAGGCUGGAUGUGCAUGCUCUUGUGCUCGUUGUAAUUGACUGACUGGCAGCAGUGUGCUAGUUUCUUAGUGCACUUGUUGUCGUGCCCACUGGCACCCAGCUGCUGUCCCUCACUGGCCAAGUGUUAGUCUGGGAGUGUUAGCAUGCAUGUGAGUGUGACAGUGGCUGUGAUGUAUAGCAAAGGGAGUCCAGGAGAAGUUAGAAUAGGUUGAUCUGUCAGUCUGGAAGAAUGAGCAGAAUUUGCCUUCAGUGGAGUGCACUGAAUAAACGGUGUUUGAGACCAGUUAUCUGUUGACUCUUUUGAGUUCCAGGGAGUAAAUACUGUGGAGAAAACUUGGCUCAAAGCUUUGAGGACCAAAUAAUUGAUGUAAGCCCUGAGUUACAUAGGACAUAAGCAUGCUUUUACAAGUCCUGGAAGUACUGAAGAGAGUUUCUUCUCAUUUCAGUUAAUAAUAGGAACGUUGUAUACAGUUGUUUGCUUGAUUGGUUCAUUUUAUUGUGUGUAAAUACACUGUAGAAACGAGUUUGCCUUUUGUUCAGUGGUACUCAGCUAGUGUGCUUUUGGUAAAGCUAGUGAAUUAAGGGGAGUAAGUAAUGUGCCCUGGUCUGUCAGUGAAACAAAGUCCAUUUAAAAUUAAGGCCAUGAGGGAUUAUGACGAGGCUGAAGAGGACUUAGAAGAACAGUGAGCAGAACUGGUCACCUGUGUCACAGAACAGAAAUCUUCAGGCCACAUGUGCCACAGGCACACAACUCGUGAUGUGAGCUGCCUCAGUGAAAAAGGAGUGAUGCUCUCCCGUGUGUGGUAUGAAACUCUGCUCCACUGAUCUUAAUGAAAAUACACUGGGUUUUGCACUAGGGCAAAUGAGAUCAGAAUCUGGCCAACUGUUAAUAGCUUUUUGUAUUUGAGGCUGAAAUAAAGAAUCUGUGUAUGCAAAUAAUUGUGCAAGCGUGGCUUCUGAAUGACUCCUAAAAGGAGAAUUCAAUAUUUAAUUGUUGGAAAUACAAACUGUUUGGCACUAAUCUCCUGGUUUGGCUGAGCUAUACUUGACCUGUGACAGAGAGAGCAAAGGUGAUUUUAAGUCCUGGGAUCUGAGGGGCCAGUGUGUAAUGUAACUUGAGUUAGAGUCAGUGUGUUGACUGCUUUGUAAUUACAGAUGCUUAUUUUGUCUACAAAACCAGUUGAUUCAAUAUCUUUUAUUUCCAUUAUCUCAUCUCAAUCUUUAUAUGUGAAUCUGAGCUAUUUGAGUUCAAGAGAGUGGUAUAUAACUAGAAUUUUAAAAAAGGGGCUUGAUAACAAAAAGUUAGUUGUUCUGAUGUAAAAGAUGUUCUGGUGUAACCAAAAUGAUGAAACUGGUUAAAUCUAUCUGCAGAAACUGAAAACUUUGUGAGAAGUCUAGGAAGUUCAAAAUAACCUUUCUUCUACUCCAUGCCCUGCAUUUCUUGCAGUAUUUUGACCCAUGCCUUGGAACAAGGAUAGUAUAGCUCUUGGAAUAUAAGAGACAAUUAGAAGCAACCAUGAUCCUUGUUGGGAUACGAGUGUGAGCCCAGAGUUGAUGGGGUAUGUUUGAAAAUAGUUCCUGGCAGAAGUUACACUGGCUGAGAAUCAAGUCCUCACACUUGGUUGACAUCACUGGAAGAUUCACACAUGAAGUGAAAGUACUGUAUGGCCUUUGAGCUUCUGUUCCUGUGGUACAUGAAGUUUUAUAAUACACAGAAGAAAGGAAACAUUAACUUUUUCAGGUAAUUGUUACAGAAUGAGUGUCUGAUUUAUUCCAGUCUGCUCUGUCUGGGGAAUGUCUCCAUGACUUUAGCGAAGUGCUGUGCAUGCACAACAAAGAGGCUUUUUGGUGGAAUUUGUAAUGCAGGACUCAUUAGCUGAUAGUGGAUAAUUUUGAAAAGAUUAGUACAGCACUGGCUGCUCACUUAGAUCAUAGAAAUAACUCGAGGGAAUAUGUUCACCAAACUGAGAUGUUUUCUAAAAUACUUGCUAACAGGUUACUUAUGCUUCAGUAUGCCAAAAGCAGUAGCUUUUUCUCCAAACCAAACAUAAAAUUAGAUUAUCUUCUUCUUUAUUUGUGUGAGGAGUAAGUGUGAAAAUUCUUUGGGUUACAUGGAUGUUAUGUAAGGGUCACCAAUAGGAAAUCAGGCCCAGUGCUUUGUGUGUUUGUCUAAAGCAAGUGGCAUUUCCAUUUUGUUUUUCAGGACCCCUGAGAUCUUGUCUGCAACUAUAUCAAUAAUAUAGUCACUCAUUCUUUAUCACACAGAAAAAUCAGUCAAGUUUCCUGUUGGUGUGUGUCUCCUCCCUUUGGCUGCUUAUUAUUUUAGAUACAGCUCUGUGGGACAGGAGCUGUCGAUCAGUUCACCAGAGCCUGUGGACACUGCUGAAAUAAAGGGAGCAACUUUUCUACCACUCUGCUGUUUUGUGUAACUGAGGGCUAAGCUGGAGGGCUGGUGCUUUUCUAGGUGAACCCAUGGAAGCAGAUGGAUUGCAUGAGGUGUCCUGCAUCGCUCUGGCUGGCUCUGAGUGUGGCUGGAGACAUCAGAAAUCCCAGAGCUUCUCAGCUCUCAGCCCUGUCUGUGUGUCCUACAGCACCAGUCUCCAGGGAACUGAGUUAACUAGAUUGGAGGAUAUGAGUAGCAUAAAAAAGUCCCGGUCCCUGGGAGUUUAGGAGUGAUAGCAGAAUAAAUACUUAUAACCUGCUUUCAUGUUACAUGGCAUGGGAUUUGCUCUUCCUUGCAGAUGACUUCUCCAGUGCUGUUUCGAUGUGCCUGCUGCUCUAUGAUUUCUCCUAAAGCCUUGAUUUGACAGCAGCCUCUGGCAUGCUGUGGGCCAGCAUAGCAACAGACCUGCCAGUCUUCCUGCAGAGAGUUAAAGGAAUUUUGGAGAAAAUAAGUGAGUCAGAAAUUUGCCAUUCUCUUCUGUGGCAAUUCCCUGGAUUCAAAGUGUCCCUCCUCUCUGGCACAGUGGAACAACUGACCACUGAGUUUAGCAGAUCCAGGUUGGCGUUACACCUGUGAGAGUUUCCUGGUUGCAUCCUGAUUUCUGCUUAUUUUGUAAGUUUUGCAAGGCUUUUUGGUUCCCUGCUGCCUUGAUUUCAAAUCUGUGACCUUGAAAUCGGUUGAUUUGAACAUGACUUUUAUUUUCAUUUGCAGUCCCUAGAGGAUUGUACUUGCGGAAUUACCUUGUAACUGCUGAAUUAAGAGCCGGAGCCCAGCUGAUAUUCCCAGACUAAAGAAUAUGAUAAUUUCUAGUAACCUUGGUUGCCUUUCUUAUGCUUUUUUCUAAACAAUGCCUUUUUGCCUUAUAUAUAUGAUCAGUGAAUUUGGAAAAAGUAGUUCCUUAGUUACUUAUUACAAUUUGAGAAAAUAGUGUGCCCUCUUCCCUCUUAUGUGCAUACUUUUUCCUUCCUUUGGUGUUGUAAAUUGCUCAUCUCUUUUAUGGGAAAACAUUUAAUAGACAACAUUUUAUAGACAAAGUAAGGGAAAAUCUAACAACUUGGUCCUCUGUCUGUAGGAACUCUCAGUCUGAGUAUGGCAAAAUUGGCAAAUAUGAAGUAUAGGCCAACAUCUAAGGAGAAGAAGAAAACAGAGUUACAAACAUUAAAGACAAGAUGAGGCAAGAGGAAGGACGGGGGAUGCUUGGCAAGAGAUCCCCAAUGAUAUGGGUCAGCUUUACUCUCGUUGGAUUUGAGUGUUAUCCCAAAUUUAUUGAGAUAGAACCUCCAAAGCCUUCCCGGGGGAGAGAUCUUAGCCCAGAGAGCAGCAUGCAUAAGGCUCAGAGCACAGAGGAGAAAAGGAAACAGGCAAGGACAAAAGGAGUGAGAAAAGCACAGUGAGUGAGUAGGGAGGAAGAAAAGCAGAGGGGUUGGGAAAAGCCUGAGAUAUGACUUUGUAGAGGCAAACUGGGACCUUGAGUGCAAGAACUUAAAUUUGACCUGAAAGCAGAGGGGAUGACAGCAUUUCUGCUCUGUGUUAGGUCUGCAUUUUGAAUUUCAAGCUUUGUUUUGCCUCUGGAGUCCUCGGUUCUGCUCAGUCCCAUUACAGUGGGGGUGGGCAAAUCAGGUUUUAGUGACAGUCAGUUUCCAUCCUUGGGCAACUGCACCAGUCAUACCUUUUAGUAAAGGUUACUGGUGGAGCUAAUAGAAGCUUUUUGGAAAGCAACACUGAUACCAUAGUCAUAUUUCCCCCAGCCAAGCACAGGGACUGUUUGGAGAGCUGUGUUUGAUGGCACCUGGGGCAGAAGAAGGGCACACAGGUUAUUCUACUACUUGCAUGUCUGCUGGAGAAGGUGGAGGUGUCCCUGUGCCAUACUGGUAAUACAACAAAACUGCCAUGAAAGCUCUGAUUAGAAGAUGAAGUGUGAUGCUAUAAAUAAGACUAGAAAGAUUGUUAUUGAGCCUUUCACAAAGCUGAAAUAAUGCUGUAUGUUAAAAAAAUGUUAACAAUUCGAAGAAGUUAUAAAAAUUUAUAAGUUGGCUGAACACUUUGGAAAUUUCUGCAUAUUUUAAUAUAAAUAGGUGCUGGCAGCAUGUGGAGCAGAAAGCAGUGAAAGUCCAAAGGACUAGGGCACCAGAGCAGGUCACCAGGAGCUGUCGUGCCUUACAAGCCAUGCAGGAAAGAGAAAGGGAGAAUGAUUCAUUGGUUGAUGAAAGCCUCUGUAGGUAAAGUUGGUAUGUAUCUGAAGUCUACAGUGAUUUAGUACUUCAGGAUGGAUUGCCUUCUGACAUAUUGCCUGUGAAAUUUUGAUAGGGCUAGAAGUACUUUGUAGCACCAGCUCCGUUAAGUGUGCAAAACUAAAGCACAGCAGUCCUAGGCUUUCGAUUGUGCAGUUUUUAUAAAUCUUUUUCUCAUGACAUCAUGGAACAUACUUUCUCAGUUGAAAGGUUUCUGUGGUCAUUGACAUCAGUGCUGUGAAAUAACAUUGAAAAUUAUAAGCAUCUUUCUACAGAGUAAACUGCCAGCUAGCAGCAAAGACUGCUUUUCAAAUGGAAUCACUAUGGUAAAUCACUUAUCAGACCUUUAAAGCAUACACUCGCACAACUGAAUUCAGUUCAGUAAGAGUGUUGAUUCUUCAGUCUUUUUUGAGUCACUUCCACUGUAACAUUCUCUGGAAUCGUUCAUUUUUGAGUGUUUAAGAUGACUGAUUGGUAAUGUGGCGUUAUCAUAGAUUCAAAGGUAUUUCCAUGUUCUCUGUGCCACUUCAUACCAUAUUCUCACAGAGACUGUUAUAUAAAAGUACCAUUUUGCAGAGCGGGGGAACAGAGAAAGAAUAAAUGAUGGAGGUAAGUCUGUGUAAGGAAAUAUGUUGCAGAACUGCUGAUCAUAGUUUUCCUCAUGUUACAAUAUUUAGUCUCUGGAUCAGCUCUCUUGUUCUGCAGCACAGGUUCAUCCCUUUUGUGCUGCAGCUCUUGGUUACCCCAUCCAGCAUGGACAAAAAGGCUGUACAGCAUUCAGGGAAGAAACUGUGUCCUCCUGCUACUCUUGGUUUGUGGUGUAUCUAUCUACAGCACAUACAGAGCUUGGUCUAGAGAGCCUGGUGAGCUUAUAAGCUUGGAAGUAGGAUCCUACAGGGAGUUGUACAGGACAAAGUGCUAUGUAGCUGACAUAGACAUUUGCUCUUCUGCCUCAGCCACAGGGAAGGCACAAGCCCAGCCAGGCUUGAGCCAAUUGCUUUUAAUCUGGGAGCUUACAGAGUAGGAGUAGGCUGAAUCAAGCCUCUGUCAAGAACCACUGCUGAAAUACUGAAUUAACAUACCCAAGACCAGCACAUCAGGAGGAUAGCCUUCUGCCAAGAAUAGUGUGAAGAUAUACCUUGCUUUCGGAUAGACACAACGUGAAGAUACUCCUUUCUUUUGGACAGACACAGUGCAUCCUCAGAGGGCAGAGAUGUUGCUGCUCUCUGAGCACUGCACAUGCUGUGUUCAUGACUAAUGGAAACAAUGCCCAGUUUUGUGGGAGCUUGGUGGUAUGGGAGAGAGUCACAGCAGCUCUAAUUGGGUGGCUUAUCGCUUUCUUGUGGAGCCAGGUACAGCUUCUGUUCUCUUUUGCACUUGCAAAUCUGGUAUAAUAUGAAUUAGAUUGUCAUUAGGUUUCAUUAGUGAAGCUCCAUAAAACAAAAAAAAAAGGAAAAGUUCUAUAGUCGUGCUAAAACUUGGUAUGUCAUUUAUGUGAAGGGAGUGAUCAGAGAUUAGUAGCCAUGAAAUGCUGCUUUUCCAGAAAUAUGAAAUAAUUAGGUAAAAUAUCUAGGUAAAAUCUAACAGAAAUAUGAUUACUGUCUGAUAAAAUGGUUCCUCUUCCCUUCUAAAUAGGUUAGGGCAUCUCCUUAAUGCAAGCCCUGCACCUUCACCUAGAUUCCUUCCCAGGCAGCUACAGUAGAUAUGCUCACCAAGGGAAUUUGUCCCACUGGAUUCCUUUUUUUUUUCUGUGCAGUUGAAUGAAAAGUGUGUGUCUUUUUUGAAGAACAGGAACUGAAAGAAAUAUUGAUAACUGCCAGGGCAUCUACAGAAAAAGAUAAGAAAAUUACUCUUGCAAACAGUGAAGACAAAGGGCCUUUGUUAACCUUUUCUUGUAGGCUGUAUAUAUUAAUAGUAACAAGUAAAGUUUUGUAUUUUUUCAGAGAAACACACAAGGCCUUGAAUUGUAUUGUUUUAAUUGCAGCUAACUGAAUGAAUUAAGUGGAAAAUCACAUACAGUGUUUUGAUUGUCUAAUUCUCUGUAUGUGAGGCUUUGGGAACAGUUUGUUAUUAUAAAAGAACAGCACUAACCAGAAAUCAGCCAACAUGUAAUUGCUAGGCUGAGGGGCAGUUUGGGGAAAGCUGAUAGUUAUUUGUAAAUUAUUAAAUAAAAGCACAAAAUAUGAGUAUCAUCUCUCACUGCCUCCACACUUCAUACAUUACUCAUCUUCCUAAAUUUCAUGGUUUUGUACUCCCUUAGUACAUUGCUGCUUAUAACCAGUGCAGGCAUCAAAACCACCUACAUCCAGGAAAGGAGAUGCUUGUGCAUUUGUUGUGAUGGCAGUUUUGGUUAUGGGACUAUGAUUAUGAUGGGACUAAGAUUAUGAACCUUCAGUUGAAGGAAAGGAAUCUUGACUCAAGUUUUAAAGGUUGUUUUCAGUACCUAAAAUAGACCUGACCACCUGUGACUCUUCAGGUGGCUGAAAUUCUGGCUGGUGUUUCCACUUGACUAUGUACCUUUAGAGAAUUACAGACAGCCAGUACCCUAAAUAGAAGACUUAAGAGCAAUUUUGGCAUUAAAUUUGACAGAGUUCUCAAAAAAAUAUUGGUUAUGUAAUUCCCAUCAGUUUUGGUAAGAAUCAGAUAACUUC